UAGCUUCUUUUCCAGGCAUCUCUGUUCUUGCCCAAAGGCCUCAGAGAUCAAAGUGGCCAAGACAGCAGUGACAGAGAUGGUACAUCAGCUCAACAUCAUGGACUGUCCACUUCCUAAAGCCUAAUCUCCAACAGCAGAGACCGACACUGAGCCCUCCAUGUAGCACUACCCUUUGGGAAAACCAGUGAGCUACCACAACAUACAAAGGAUAGGAUUUUGAUGUCACUGACAUGGAUACUCUGGAUAUGGAUUUGCUUUUCUUGUCUGCAGUACUUCUUCCAAAACUGUUAUGCAUGUGCUGACAGAAUAUCUUAGUCACCAUGACGGUAUUACGCCUUGCAUCACUUCUGACCAAGGAACUCAUUUUACAGCAAAUGAGGUACAGCAAUGAGCCCACAUUCACGGGAAUCAGUGGUCUACCAUAUUAUCCUGAUUACUGUAGCCUUAUAGGAAGUCUUGAAAUCAGGAUUUGAAUGGGAUUGUGUUGAAUCUGGAGACAAAUUUGGAGAGAACUGACGUCUUCACUACACUGAGGCUUUCAACUCCGAACAUGGCAUAUCCCUUUGUUUAUUUAAGUCUUCUUUACUUUCAUUAGCAAUGUCUUUUUGUGCACAGGUCUUGUGGACCUAUUUUGUUAAAUUCUUUCCAAAUUAUUAUAUGGUCUGUGAUGCUACUGUGUAAAUCGCAUGUUUUAAAUUUUAGUUGUCUGGUAACUUAUUGUCAAUAUGUAGGAAUACAAUUCGUAUAUUGACUUUGUACUUUUUUAAGGUUUAUUUAUCUAUUUUGAGGGAGGGGAGGGGCAGAGAGAAAGGGAGAGAAUCCCAAGCAGGCUCUGCAUUGUCAGCACAGAGCUCGACAUGGGGCUUCAACCCAUGCACCGUGAGAUCGUGACCUGAGCCGAAACCAAGUUAUACACCCAACCCACCGAGCCACCCAGACACCCUGACUUUGUAUUUUAGAAUUUUUUUGUGAAUUUUCUUAUUUUAGUAAUUUCAUAGUAUGUUUCUUAGGAUUUUUUACAUACAAUCAUACAUUAUUAUGUCUUCUGUAAAUAGUUUUACUUCUUCUAAUCCAUAACUUUCUAAUUUAUUUCUUUCUAUUUUGUUUUGUCAUGUGGCACUCUAGUACAAUACUGAAUAGAAUGAUGAGAUAGACAAUUUUGCCUUUUUCUUGAUCUUAUCAUUAACUGUAAUGGUAGCUCUGUGUUUUGUAUUUUUUUCCUUAAGUUCACUGAAAACUAUUAUUGUGAUUUUAAAAACAGCCUAAUGGGUUUGUAAUGAAUUCAGCAUAUCAUUCUUGUUGAUAUUUUAGAACUGAUACUGACUUUUGCUAGAGAAUUAAAAAAAAUUCAAAAGUGAAAAUUGUGUAAUAAACUCCAUCCCUGGCAAAACCUGCCAUGUCACAUGGUCACAACUCACUGUUCUGUACAAAAGUUUGUAUUAAUAAAGCUGUGAUAUAAAAAUCAAAUAACAA